AACUCCACCGGAUCCACCCCGCGAGUCACGACGAGGUAGUCGCGCAUGACGAUGGAGUGGCGGUUCUC
rnacentral:sRNA from 1 species